rnacentral:rRNA from 1 species
AUACGUAGGGGGCGAGCGUUAUCCGGAUUUAUUGGGUUUAAAGGGUGCGCAGGCGGCCAUUUAAGUCAGCGGUUAAAUCGUGGGGCUCAACCCCAUUCUGCCGUUGAUACUGGGUGGCUUGAUUGCGGUCGAGGUUGGCGGAAUUCGUUGUGUAGCGGUGAAAUGCAUAGAUAUGACGAAGAACACCGAUUGCGUAGGCAGCUUACCAGAUCGCAAAUGACGCUCAUGCACGAAAGUGCGGGGAUCGAACAGGAUUAGAUACCCUGGUAGUCCGCACAGUAAACGAUGAAUACUUGUUUUCGGCGAUAUAAUGUCGGAGGCAAAGCGAAAGCGAUAAGUAUUCCACCUUGGGAGUACGCCGGCAACGGUGAAACUCAAAUGAAUUGACGGGG